GCUGCCCGACGCUCAGCUCUCCACGGUGGUUGGUGUGGCAGGGCAGCACCAGCUGGCUCAUCUGCACCUCUGUGGGGUUCCGGUACACCUCGCCAUCUGCCAUGGCUCCACACUUCUCGGCCCUGGAGGCCGACUUCCGGGAUGUGUGGCUGGAGAACACGGAGGACCCUUGAUCUUCAGAUGACAUCAGAAGCAGCACCUCUUCAGCACUUGGCUCUCCUGACUAGAUGGGCUCUGGAGGUCACUGACAGCUGUCUGAUCCAGGCCGGGGCUGCCAGCUGGAGAACCAGCAGAGAAAAUCUUGCAACUCAUGAAUUAGAGACUGUGAGCAAGAGCCGAAUACACCUGCUUGUGUGAGAAAAAUGACAGGGACCCAGGCACAACAGUUCCGAUUCUCGUGGCCAGUUCCGACUGUGGUGACGAGGAACCUAAGUCUCAAAGACCAACCAGUGGUGACCCCAGAGGUCUGGCUGCAGAGUCUGAGGCCGACCCACCACACCACACUGCCUGCAGGGCCUCCCGGAGCCCUGAGGAGCCCAGGGCCCUGAGCCAGGAUUCAGCAGCAACAAGCGUGACCCAGUGCCGGCCCUGCUACAGCUCCACGUGGGGGCAAGGACAGCUGGGGCGGUGACGGUUCUCAUGCCGCGGGGUCUGUACUCCUUGGAUAAUUCUCCCCAUGAGGCGUGCAUAGUUAAUUCAAUAAAUUCAAAACACA